rnacentral:rRNA from 1 species
UACAGAGGUCUCAAGCGUUGUUCGGAUUCAUUGGGCGUAAAGGGGUGUGUAGGUGGCGCCCGUAAGUCGGGUGUGAAAUUUCGGGAGCUUAACUCCGAAACUGCAUUCGAUACUGCGGUGCUUGAGGACUGGAGAGGAGACUGGAAUUCAUGGUGUAGCAGUGAAAUGCGUAGAGAUCAUGAGGAAGACCAGUGGCGAAGGCGGGUCUCUGGACAGUUCCUGACACUGAGACACGAAGGCCAGGGGAGCAAACGGG